ACCCCCCUAGGGAGGCAGCAGUGGGGAAUAUUGCACAAUGGGGGGAACCCUGAUGCAGCGACGCCGCGUGAGUGAAGAAGUAUUUCGGUAUGUAAAGCUCUGUCAGCAGGGAAGAAGAAAGACGGUACCUGACCAAGAAGCCCCGGCUAACUACGUGCCAGCAGCCGCGGUAAUACGUAGGGGGCAAGCGUUAUCCGGAUUUACUGGGUGUAAAGGGAGCGUAGACGGCAGGGCAAGUCUGGAGUGAAAGGCAGGGGCCCAACCCCUGGACUGCUCUGGAAACUGUCCGGCUGGAGGGCAGGAGG
rnacentral:rRNA from 1 species